UAGUGGCGGACGGGUGAGUAACGCGUAGGAAUCUGCCUUAUGGUGGGGGACAACAGUUGGAAACGGCUGCUAAUACCGCAUGAUACCUUCGGGUCAAAAGUUGCUUUCGGGCAGUCGCUGUACGAUGAGCCUGCGUUGGAUUAGCUAAUUGGUGGGGUAAAGGCCUACCAAAGCGAUGAUCCAUAGCUGAUCUGAGAGGAAGAUCAGCCCAACUGGGACUGAGACACGGACCAAACUCCUAAGGGAGGCAACAGUGGGGAAUAUUGGACAAUGGGGGCAACCUUGAUCCAGCAAUAACACGUGUGUGACAAAGGACUUAGGGUUGUAA
rnacentral:rRNA from 1 species